UUGAGAUUGACAUCCAAUGAUCGAGGGGAAAAUACCAGCGCCUUGAGCAAGCACUAGUUGCGUGGAUAUGUGCGCUACACAUAAAUAUCCUAUACUAAUAAUCACUUACUACCGAUGUGGUGAGGGCUACACGUGAUGGAUUCAAUAUCGUCUAAUAUCUCUUAAAUUCAACCUCGUCUUCAACAGCAGAAUGUUCCCUCGGAACCUAUGGACAAAACUGCAGCAAGCGAUGUAGUGACAGGAACUGUGCAGGCAACUCGUCAUGUGAUCAUGUGACAGGAUCAUGUGUCCCCGGAUGUAAAGCAGGAUGGAUGGGUAGAGACUGUAAGGAUGCUUGCGAAUCCCAUCUAUUUGUUCCAGAUUGUACAGAGACCUGCGCCUCCAGACACUGUAAGGGGAACUCUUCCUGUAACUCAACAGGGGAUGUGACAAUGGGUGUGAGACAGGGUGGACACAGACUGAUUGCACAGGUAAU